CCUCCUUUUCUUGGCGGGGACUGGGCUUGCGGUCCCGCUGCCCGUAACGUACAAAGGAAGAGGGAAAGGGCUCUGGCUCCCUCGGUGUCAUGUCUUUGGUGCCGGUGACUUUCCAUCUGCUGGUUCUAUCCUCAAGCACCGAAACACCG
ensembl:snoRNA